UUUGCUUCCUCUGUUUCAGCAAAUCUAAGAAGUCUUGAGAAGUCCCAUUUCACAGACCGGCAUGGUAAAAGAUAUGUGAGUUCCACUACUGACAUCUUGCAAAUCAACAUCUUGGAAAGAAGGAUUGGAAUGUAAGUUUCUCAAAGCUGAAGAAGCAAUUCCGACCUUAUUUUCAUUUAGAGUACAAAUGAAGGUUCGAAAUUAACUACUCCUUUUUCAAGGAAUGAAUUGCAAUUGCUAUAGUACAUUUUUUUUCCAAGUGGUGCCAUUACAUUGUUCUCCAUUGAGUCGAGUGUCGUAGGUAGUAAACAUAUGUGCUGAUUUUUAGAUUUGGCUCUAUGGAAAAUUAUCUCCAUUUCGGUGCUGCUAAUCACCAGUAAUGGGUUUAUACUGUACUCUAUUUUCAUUCUCAAAACAAAGUCACCAGUUAUGGGUUUCUUUUCCUUUUUGGUAAUUAGUUGAACUUCUUGGUGUUUCUUCCCACCUCUUUGCUUCUUGACUUCUACGAAUAUGGAUAUAUCCCUUAUACUGUUAUUGUAAAUGCAGCACAAUAAGCUCUUUCAGUAUCAAGUGGAAUUGAUCUAUUUCAAUAUAUACUUUCUCUUUCUCCCUCGCUUAGUGGCUGCGCAGUUAGUUCUUUCUGUCUCUUUUCUGCAUUGCUUUUCUUUUCUUUUUUUGUCUUGCUUUUUUUGGGGGGUGGGCGAGUGGACUUUGUGAACUAAAGCAUUUCUGUUCUUACAAAAGAAAUAUCUUUCGCUGGCCUUUAAAGUCAUGAAAUAGUGUCAGCUAUCGCACAUGAUGCUACGGAUGCAUUAGCUGCUUCUCUUACAAAGCCUUUGUUUGGUUUCUGCAGAUUUAUGUCGAGUUUCCUGGAUACCUUGAGCCCUUUUAAGUCUUAAAACACAUUAACUAUCUGCAAGAAGACAGAACUUGCUUUAUUACUAAUUAAUUGCUUCUUCAAUAGCUUUGUUACCUACAGUUUAACCUGAGAAAGGAGGACAUAACUCUGCGACAUUGAUUGUACGAAAAGUUCGUCCAUAUAUAUGCUAGAAAAGGAUUUAUAUGGUUAUGUGUUACUGCGGCUGAUUUUUUCUUUCCUCUACAUUGCCGUUACUGUACUCGUUAGUAGUCCAUUUAAUUUUCCCACAAUGAGACAACUAACCAUCUUUUGUUGGUGGACAAGUUGACAUAGUGUAAAUACAUAAACCUAUUAGCAUUUAUUCAUGGAACACACUUCACACACACACAGUAAUAGAUACAGAGUCAAACAGAGAGCUCUUUCUCUUAAAUAAAGUACAGCAUUCACUGAGCAGCAGAAGUUCCUUAUUGUAUAGCUUCUGCCUCUUACUUGUCUGAGGUCUGUAGCUUACUUCAUCAGCAGUUCCCUCUCUUCUGCAAAACCAAGAUAACAUAAUUAUUAGGCUUCAGGAUAUCGUUCUCUAUUAUUGGGGAGAGGAGCAUGUACCCAAGUUUUCAAGUCAGAGCAUUUGUGUUAACCUAUUAAUACACAUUGUAGGCAUUACUUAUCCUCGUUAAUUAUCUUAUAAUGCAUAUCAUUGUUCCCUACAACCUUUAAAAUUUUUGCCCUUCUCGCAGAUAUUAACAAUGAUUAUACCGUGGUCCUUCCGCAGUUUUCAUUGUCGCUCUCAUCACUGCUGCUGCUGCUGCUGUCACUGCCAUCGCUGCAAUUUCCGUCCUUGUUCUUCCUCCUGCUUCUCAUUUGAUCACGCAUCUUAUGCAUGAAAUUCCCUUCCUUUUUCUUUCCACAAGCCCCAGCAUGUGCAGCAGUUGCACUUGUGCCGUGGCAUGCAGCAGAUUGGUGCGUUUUGGUGCCAUGGCAUGCAGCAGAUUGCUGAGUUUUGGUACCAUGGCAUGCAGAUUGGUUAGUUUUGGUGCCGUGGCAUGCAGCAGGUUGGUUAGUUUUGGUGCCAUGGCAUGCAGCAGAUUGCUGAGUUUUGGUGCCAUGGCACGCAGAUUGAUGAUUGUGAUUGUCAUGGUGAAACAUUUUGCCGGUCAUAUCUUUCAUCUUGUCAGCAUAAGAGU
rnacentral:lncRNA from 1 species